rnacentral:tRNA from 1 species
GUUAAUGUAGCUUAACUAAACUAUAAAGCAAGGCACUGAAAAUGCCUAGAUGAGUCAUAAGACUCCAUAAACA